rnacentral:lncRNA from 1 species
CCAUGGCCCGCUGCCCGCGCACCAUCUCCCGCAGCUCACACUCCACCACCGUACAGGACGCUGAGCCGUCGCAGCUCUGAGGGGGAUGGAUGUGUGAACCUUACCUUGGGAGAUGGCUGUGUGGAGCAAAGGAGACCUCCCUGCGGCUGCACAUCCAGGAUGUAGAGCAGAUCCGAGGGCUGGGACUGGCCAGGAAUGUGGAUGAGAAGUCUGAGGCCAUUCACAGUGCCAGGGCCAAUGUUGUGGAGCUGGGGGUGGAGAUAGCGGGGUGGCUCAGCUGCCAGGCUGUAGCUCCCAGGACCUUCAUAUGUGCACACACGUGUGCGCGCACGCUCGCGCCAACCCCCCCCCCCAAUCUUACCCAGAGGCUCCUCCCUACCUCAUAGGUGUGCUCCAGCCUGGAGACCCAUCUGUCCAAGUCUUCCUGCUCCCUGUCACCUUCUUCUGCUGCCACCACCAGGGAGGCAGGGAAGGAAUUCCUGCAAGUGUCCAAGUCCCCAGAGAGCAUCUGACUCCCUGACAGACCUCUGGUGGGUCCUCCAGGACCCCUCAGACUUUACCCUUUUAUGAGAUCCUGGGGAUGGGACCCUUCCACAUGCUAAUCAUGCGAUGUACCGAACUACACGCCCACCUCCUCCUCUGAACCAGAGACCCCUCUGCCAUUUUCCCCGUCCCAUGCCUGGUCUCUCACCCUCGAAGCUCCACUGUGGCUUCAGCUUGGAUUGCCACAGGCAACAUCACGACCUUACUGUUUGGAUUCUGGCUGUUCUUGCUGGAGGGGAGAAGGUGAAAAGAAGAGGGACAGCAGAAUUUUAGAUGGCUCAGGGAAAGUCAAUCCCACCCCAAAGAGCAUCCCCUGCUGGUUAGACCCCAGAAAAGAUGUAGUCUAGGACCCUAAGAUUCAGAAACAAGUCACCGCGGAAGAAAGGGGAAGGGGCUCUUGGGCAGGCCUUCCUUCCGAUG